rnacentral:rRNA from 1 species
UACGAAGGGGGCUAGCGUUGCUCGGAAUCACUGGGCGUAAAGCGCACGUAGGCGGCUUAUUAAGUCAGGGGUGAAAUCCUGGAGCUCAACUCCAGAACUGCCUUUGAUACUGAUGAGCUUGAGUCCGGGAGAGGUGAGUGGAACUGCGAGUGUAGAGGUGAAAUUCGUAGAUAUUCGCAAGAACACCAGUGGCGAAGGCGGCUCACUGGCCCGGUACUGACGCUGAGGUGCGAAAGCGUGGGGAGCAAACAGG